rnacentral:rRNA from 1 species
GACGUAGGAUGCAAGCGUUGUCCGGAAUUAUUGGGCGUAAAGAGUUCGUAGGCGGUUAUUUAAGUCUGGUGUUAAAUACUGGCGCUCAACGUCGGCAUGGCAUGAGAAACUGGAUGGCUAGAGUGUGGCAGAGGUCAAGGGAAUUCCAGGUGUAGCGGUGAAAUGCGUAGAUAUCUGGAGGAACACCGGCGGCGAAAGCGCUUGACUGGGCCAUAACUGACGCUGAGGAACGAAAGCCGGGGGAGCAAAAGGG